rnacentral:rRNA from 1 species
CCUACGGGGGGCAGCAGUGAGGAAUAGUGGUCAAUGGACGAGAGUCUGAACCAGCCAAGUAGCGUGAAGGAUGACUGCCCUAUGGGUUGUAAACUUCUUUUAUAAAGGAAGAAAACGAGGCACGUGUGCCUUUUUGCAUGUACGUUAUGAAUAAGGAUCGGCUAACUCCGUGCCAGCAGCCGCGGUAAUACGGAGGAUCCGAGCGUUAUCCGGAUUUAGUUGGGUUAAAGGGAGCGUAGAUGGGUUGUUAAGUCAGUUGUGAAAGUUUGCGGCUCAACCGGAAAAUUGCAAUUGUUACUGGCAGUCUUGCGUACAGUUGCGUUAGGCGGAAUUCGUGGUGUAGCGGU